rnacentral:rRNA from 1 species
GAUGAACGCUGGCGGCGUGCUUAACACAUGCAAGUCGAGCGAAGCACUUAGGAAAGAUUCUUCGGAUGAUUUCCUUUGUGACUGAGCGGCGGACGGGUGAGUAACGCGUGGGUAACCUGCCUCAUACAGGGGGAUAACAGUUAGAAAUGACUGCUAAUACCGCAUAAGACCACGGUACCGCAUGGUACAGUGGUAAAAACUCCGGUGGUAUGAGAUGGACCCGCGUCUGAUUAGGUAGUUGGUGGGGUAACGGCCUACCAAGCCGACGAUCAGUAGCCGACCUGAGAGGGUGACCGGCCACAUUGGGACCGAGACACGGCCCAGACUCCUACGGGAGGCAGCAGUGGGGAAUAUUGCACAAUGGAGGAAACUCUGAUGCAGCGACGCCGCGUGAAGGAUGAAGUAUUUCGGUAUGUAAACUUCUAUCAGCAGGGAAGAAAAUGACGGUACCUGACUAAGAAGCC